UUCUCCACUAGAUGGCGCUGCUUAGCUUACCAGGUUGGAUCGUCCUAGUGCUUGUAGAUGCGUAUGCGCAUGCGCUGGAGCGUGAACAUGGUGUCACCCAGGUAUUCAGUCUCUAAUAUCAGAACUCUUUUCUCCCUGAUCAGCAGUCACGCACCCAUCCUUUGUCUUCGGCUUCCAUCCACUCCCCGCUUUUACAAGAUCCGUGACCAAGCCCCAGGUAGCACAUCCCUCCUGAGUUUUGUCUCAGAUGCGGCUGUUUUUCCCGACCCCUUAUUUCUGAAGGACUGCGGCUUUGACCUGAUCUGCCCGUCUGGGGGAGGGUCUCACCGAGCAAUGGCCGGGUGCCGGCCGCUCCCAGGAAUGCUCGCGGGCUGUGCUGCUGCCGACGCCCAGAGACCGCGGCCGGGUGCGAGCCCGCCCCGGAAAAAGUUUGUGACACAGUGUAGCAGCAGCGCCUCAGGGAUUAUGGAAAAUCACGACACGCAUCUGGUAUCCGGCUUCGCCCUUAAUGACCUUGUUCCAGGACCAGGGAAUGUGGUUAUUCUCCCGGGUCCGCUGGAGCCUUGCCUCUGGGGGCUCACACAGCCUCUACCAGGUGUACCCCCAGCAGGGGAACCGCUUCUCCCCUGUGUCCUGAAGAACCCCUGACUCCACUCUGCUCCGGGGGAUUCGCCCUUCUCACCAGAGCACCGCCAGUGGGGAAACUGAGCAGUCACUAAGCAGUAGAUGACCAAUAAAGGGGUUGAAGCAAGAAAUUCAAGGAGAUUCCUGGCAUUAGAUAAAACCUCUACUCUGGAUCUUGAGAGAACCAUAUCAUGGGAGGCCAGCAUCCUGCUUAUAGAUGUUCUUGAAUGCUGUUGAAAAGCCUGUUAAAUUAAAUAUAUAGACCCUUGGCAACAAGGGAUUGCUAUGAAUUUGACUGUUACCUGUAGUGUGUCAAGAAAUACUUUGUGAUGUUUUCCUCAACAAUUACAAAGAAAAUAAAUUGAAAUUAAUUAUUUUUAGUUGACUAACUUUAUGGCAAUAUGCAUAUACUUUGGAGCUUGUGGAUGUUGGGAAAACAAGCCUUCAUUGAAGAGGAAAUUGCAUGGGAAGACUUGAAAGAGGAGAACUCACAAACACAAGUGAGAGAUGUUUUGACAGGAAUGGGAAUAUCAAAGGCUGAAUUGGCCCUUAAAUUGCAUUCAUUAAGUGUUGUAUGUUUUUGUUUUUUGUUUUUUUUUGUUUUUCAUUUUGUUUUUUUUUAGGUUUAUUAAGA